AUGUAGGGGGGUGGGUCAUCCAACUGUCAAAGUGGUGAGACGACUGACGAAACACUCAUUCUUUUGCUGCCGAGACGCUGUCCGAGAAGGUUGAAUUUAGUCAUUGCUGGGUACUUUCUUACGUGAAAUUUGUGAUCAUAGACAUGGAUUCCUUGGUUAGUUUGAUGUUGGAGCUGCUAAUGGUGUUGAUGCAGCGUUCAUGGUGUGAGCACUGAGCAGUGGUUUUGCAGUCAUUAUCCAGUCGAGAUGUCUUGAAAUGGAGGUUGUGCAGACAUUCAAUUCAACAUCUUUCUUCAAUGUGUUAUUUGCCAAUGUUGGUGUUUUUGCAGUGUUGAGCUGUUGUGCAGAAUAGUCUGUUGCCUGGUGGCUGUUGUGCAGAAUAGUCUGUUGCCUGGUGGCUGUCGGGCAUGUUUUAUCGGCUGCUUUUUGUCGAUGUGUCGUCUCGUCUCUUGCCACCUGUCACGUUACGUUGAGUCGUUCGCUGCCGUUCCGACUUGAUCCAUUGGUGAAACUGAGAUGAGGUUGCAGAAAUUGAAGAUUGAUACAUUAAUUAGAUUUGGACAAAUUAAAAGUGCAUGCAUGUUCCCCUUUUCCCUAAGUAAACAGUCUCCGCCGUUGGUUAUUCGUCUGUUCGAACGGGAAAUUGCCAUGCAAAUGAUCUGAUGUACCUUUGGAGAAAAAUUAUUUUGACCACUAAGUAGUUUUCCCUGAUGAUUCGCAAUCAACUCUAACUCCAUUAUGUAACCGUAUUAAACCUGUUCGCUCUUCAUAUAUAUGACCAUUAUCAAAAUUACUACUUCGCAAACAAUAAAAUAUGAAAUCAAAAA
rnacentral:lncRNA from 1 species